rnacentral:rRNA from 1 species
UACAGAGGUCUCGAGCGUUGUUCGGAUUCAUUGGGCGUAAAGGGUGCGUAGGCGGCGAGGUAAGUCGGAUGUGAAAUCCCGGGGCUCAACCCCGGAACUGCAUUCGAUACUGCCUUGCUUGAGUACUGGAGAGGAGACUGGAAUUUACGGUGUAGCAGUGAAAUGCGUAGAUAUCGUAAGGAAGACCAGUGGCGAAGGCGAGUCUCUGGACAGUUACUGACGCUGAGGCGCGAAAGCGUGGGGAGCAAACAGG